UACGUAGGGUGCAAGCGUUGUCCGGAAUUAUUGGGCGUAAAGAGCUCGUAGGCGGUUUGUCGCGUCGGCUGUGAAAACCUGAGGCUCAACCUCAGGCCUGCAGUCGAUACGGGCAGACUUGAGUGUUGCAGGGGAGAGUGGAAUUCCUGGUGUAGCGGUGAAAUGCGCAGAUAUCAGGAAGAACACCAAUGGCGAAGGCAGCUCUCUGGGACGGUACUGACGCUGAGACGCGAAAGCGUGGGGAGCGAACAGG
rnacentral:rRNA from 1 species